rnacentral:rRNA from 1 species
GACGAACGCUGGCGGCGUGCCUAAUACAUGCAAGUAGAACGCUGAAGAGAGGAGCUUGCUCUUCUUGGAUGAGUUGCGAACGGGUGUGUAACGCGUAGGUAACCUGCCUGGUAGCGGGGGAUAACUAUUGGAAACGAUAGCUAAUACCGCAUAAAAUUGAUUAUUGCAUGAUAAUUAAUUGAAAGAUGCAACUGCAUCACUACCAGAUGGACCUGCGUUGUAUUAGCUAGUUGGUGAGGUAACGGCUCACCAAGGCGACGAUACAUAGCCGACCUGAGAGGGUGAUCGGCCACACUGGGACCGAGACACGGCCCAGACUCCUACGGGAGGCAGCAGUAGGGAAUCUUCGGCAAUGGGGGGAACCCUGACCGAGCAACGCCGCGUGAGUGAAGAAGGUUUUCGGAUCGUAAAGCUCUGUUGUAAGAGAAGAACGGGUGUGAGAGUGGAAAGUUCACA